ACGCUCGACACCUACGGGAGGCAGCAGGUGGGGAAUAUUGCACAAGUGGGGGAAACCCUGAUGCAGCGAUGCCGCGUGAAGGAAGAAGUAUCUCGGUAUGUAAACUUCUAUCAGCAGGGAAGAAAAUGACGGUACCUGACUAAGAAGCCCCGGCUAACUACGUGCCAGCAGGCCGGGUAAUCUGAGCGGGCUGGCAAGGC
rnacentral:rRNA from 1 species